rnacentral:misc_RNA from 1 species
GAUGAAGAACGUAGCGAAAUGCGAUAAGUAAUGUGAAUUGCAGAAUUCAGUGAAUCAUCGAAUCUUUGAACGCACAUUGCGCCCGCCAGUAUUCUGGCGGGCAUGCCUGUUCGAGCGUCAUUUCAACCAUCAAGCCCCCGGGCUUGUGUUGGGGACCUGCGGCUGCCGCAGGCCCUGAAAAGCAGUGGCGGGCUCGCUGUCACACCGAGCGUAGUAGAUUUUAUCUCGCUCUGGGCGUGCUGCGGGUUCCGGCCGUUAAACCACCCUUUUAACCCAAGGUUGACCUCGGAUCAGGUAGGAAGACCCGCUGAACUUAAGCAUACAAUAAGCGGAGGA